rnacentral:rRNA from 1 species
GACGAACGCUGGCGGCGUGCUUAACACAUGCAAGUCGAGCGGAGCGGCGAACGGGUGCGUAACGCGUGAGUAACUGCCCCCCUCUCUGGGAUAACAGUUGGAAACGGCUGCUAAUACCGGAUAGUGGGGGAUGACUCGCGUCGUAUCAGCUUGUUGGUGGGGUAGUGGCCUACCAAGGCGACGACGGGUAGCCGGCCUGCGAGGGCGACCGGCCAAAUUGGGCUUAGAUACGGCCCAAACUCCUACGGGGGGCAGCAGUGGGGAAUAUUGCGCAGUCGUGGAAACCCUGAUGCAGCAACGCGCGUGCGUGAUGACGGCUUUCGGGUUGUAAACCGCGUUCAGCCAUGACGCGGUAGUGGCAGAAGAAGCACCGGCUAACUACGUGCCAGCAGCCGCGGUAAUAC